CCUACGGGGGGCUGCAGUGGGGAAUAUUGCACAAUGGGCGAAAGCCUGAUGCAGCGACGCCGCGUGAGCGAAGAAGGCCUUCGGGUCGUAAAGCUCUGUCCUAUGGGAAGAAAGAUGACGUAACAAUAGGGGAAAGCCCCGUCUAACUACGUGCAAGAAGCCGCGUCAAUACGUGGGGGGCGGGGGUUGUCGGGAAGGACUGGGGUGAAAGGGUACGUAGGCGGCUAGAUAAAUUAGAUGUUAAAGGCAUAGGCUUAACCUGUGUAAGCAUUUGAAACUUUCAAGCUUGAGUAAAGGAUAGGAAAGUAGAAUUCCUGGUGUAGCGGUGAAAUGCGUAGAUAUCAGGAGGAAUACCAGAGGCGAAGGCUACUUUCUGGACUUAGACUGACGCUGAGGUACGAAAGCGUGGGGAGCAAACAGGAUUAGAUACCCGGUUAGUC
rnacentral:rRNA from 1 species